CUCCCCCCCCCAAAUUUUUUGGCUCUGUGUGUGAUGGGAAAGGGGGCUGGGCGAUGACACGUGAUGGGAUCGCCAAGAUUGUAGCAAGGGGAGAGGGGAAUCAAGCUAAUUGUCUAAAGAUCCGCCCCUCCCCCAAGAAAAGUUUCGGCCGGUGCAAAGAAUCACGACCUGAAUUUGAUCCCGAUUUCUCUCUCUAAUCACGGGGGGUUAGGGGUUUCUGAGGUUGAAGACGAUGUGGUUAUUUUCAGAAUUAUCCCCGUAGUUUAUUUUUAUUCUAUAUCACCUAUCUGGACGGCGCGGAAGGACUAAAAGGCGGAUCCACACGCGGGGCAACAACAACCAAAUCCGGUGGGCGGACGGGGAACUUGAGGACGGAGGAUGGCGGUGGAGUUCCCCAUCACCUUGCGGGAGCUCUACAGGAACGCCAUCACGAACUGAAUUUCAGAUUUUGGCAUUAGGAGUUGCUAAUAACUCGAAGGGAACAAGGAAAUUGUUGGCUUUCUUCAAUACAUCCAACCAAUAGAUUUAUAUAUCAACCAUGGCUGAGCAG